rnacentral:rRNA from 1 species
GAUGAACGCUGGCGGCGUGCCUAAUACAUGCAAGUCGAGCGAACAGACGAGGAGCUUGCUCCUCUGACGUUAGCGGCGGACGGGUGAGUAACACGUGGACAACCUACCUAUAAGACUGGGAUAACUUCGGGAAACCGGAGCUAAUACCGGAUAAUAUAUUGAACCGCAUGGUUCAAUAGUGAAAGACGGUUUUGCUGUCACUUAUAGAUGGAUCCGCGCCGCAUUAGCUAGUUGGUAAGGUAACGGCUUACCAAGGCAACGAUGCGUAGCCGACCUGAGAGGGUGAUCGGCCACACUGGAACUGGGACACGGUCCAGACUCCUACGGGAGGCAGCAGUAGGGAAUCUUCCGCAAUGGGCGAAAGCCUGACGGAGCAACGCCGCGUGAGUGAUGAAGGUCUUCGGAUCGUAAAACUCUGUUAUUAGGGAAGAACAAAUGUGUAAGUAACUAUGCACGUCUUGACGGUACCUAAUCAGAAAGCCACGGCUAACUACGUG